UGCUUUCACAUGCAAGUCGAACGGACUUGGGGGCUUGCUCCCAGGUUAGUGGCGAACGGGUGAGUAACAUAUCGGAACAUAUCCGGAAGUGGGGGAUAACGUAGCGAAAGUUACGCUAAUACCGCAUAUGCCCUGAGGGGGAAAGGGGGGGAUCGCAAGACCUCUCGCUUUCGGAGUGGCCGAUAUCGGAUUAGCUAGAUGGUGAGGUGAAGGCUCACCAUGGCGACGAUCCGUAGCGGGUCUGAGAGGACGACCCGCCACACUGGAACUGAGACACGGUCCAGACUCCUACGGGAGGCAGCAGUGGGGAAUUUUGGACAAUGGGCGCAAGCCUGAUCCAGCCAUACCGCGUGAGUGAAGAAGGCCUUCGGGUUGUAAAGCUCUUUCAGCCGGAAAGAAAUCGCACUUGUUAAUAGCAAGUGUGGAUGACGGUACCGGAAGAAGAAGCACCGGCUAACUACGUGCCAGCAGCCGCGGUAAUACGUAGGGUGCGAGCGUUAAUCGGAAUUACUGGGCGUAAAGCGUGCGCAGGCGGUUUUGUAAGACAGAUGUGAAAUCCCCGGGCUUAACCUGGGAACUGCAUUUGUGACUGCGAGACUAGAGUGUAGCAGAGGGGGGUAGAAUUCCACGUGUAGCAGUGAAAUGCGUAGAGAUGUGGAGGAAUACCGAUGGCGAAGGCAGCCCCCUGGGCUAACACUGACGCUCAUGCACGAAAGCGUGGGGAGCAAACAGGAUUAGAUACCCUGGUAGUCCACGCCCUAAACGAUGUCAACUAGGUGUUGGGGAAGGAGACUUCUUUAGUACCGC
rnacentral:rRNA from 1 species